UCAUGAUGGUGAUGCUGAUGAUCAUGAUGGUGAUGAUGAUGAUCAACAUCACAAUCAUCCACAUCAUCACCAUCAUCAUCAUCAUCAUGAUCG
rnacentral:pre_miRNA from 1 species